rnacentral:rRNA from 1 species
CUACGGGGGCAGCAGUGGGGAAUAUUGGACAAUGGGGGAAACCCUGAUCCAGCAAUGCCGCGUGUGUGAAGAAGGCCUGCGGGUUGUAAAGCACUUUCGGUUGGGAGGACUGCUUCUAGCACUAAUAUUGUUGGAAGUUGACGUUACCUUCAGAAGAAGCACCGGCUAACUCCGUGCCAGCAGCCGCGGUAAUACGGAGGGUGCAAGUGUUAAUCGGAAUUACUGGGCGUAAAGCGCGCGUAGGCGGCUAGAUCAGUCGGGUGUGAAAGCCCCGGGCUUAACCUGGGAACUGCAUCCGAUACUGUCUAGCUUGAGUACAGGAGAGGAGAGUGGAAUUCCACAUAUAGCGGUGAAAUGCGUAGAUAUGUGGAGGAACACCAAUGGCGAAGGCAGCUCUCUGGCCUGAUACUGACGCUGAGGUGCGAAAGCGUGGGGAGCAAACAGGAUUAGAUACCCGUGUAGUC